rnacentral:lncRNA from 1 species
CCACCAGCCAUGGCCAACCCCACUGUGUUCUUCAACAUUGCAAUUGAUAGUGAGUCCUUGGGCUGCAUCUCCUUCAAGCUAUUUGCAGACAAAGUUCUAAAGAUGGAAGAAAAUUUUUGUGCUCUGAACACUGGAGAGAAAGUAUUUGGUGAUAAAUGUCCCUGCUUUUACAGAAUUAUUCCGGGGUGUGUGUCAGGGUGGUGACUUCACACACCAUAAUGGCACUGGUGGCAAGUCCCUCUACAGCAAGGAAUUUGAUGAUGAGAACUUCAUCCUAAGCAUACAGCUCCUGGCGUCUUGUCCACGGCAAAUGCUGGACCCACCACAAAUGGUUCCCAGUUUUUCUUCUGUACUGCCAAGACAGAGGAUGGAUGACAGCAUGUGGUCUUUGGCAAGGUGAAAGAUGGCAUGAGUAUUGUGGAAGCCCUGGAACGCUCUGGGUCCAGGAAUGGUAAGACCAGCAAGAAGAUCACAGCUGCUGACUGUGGACAACUCUAA